rnacentral:rRNA from 1 species
AGUCAAGUAAUUAAGUGCAUGUGGUGGAUGCCUUGGCAGUCAGAGGCGAUGAAAGACGUGAUAGCCUGCGAAAAGCUCCGGGGAGGCGGCAAAUAUCCUUUGAUCCGGAGAUGUCUGAAUGGGGGAACCCACCUACUUUAAGGUAGGUAUUGCAACAUGAAUACAUAGUGUUGCAAGGCGAACGAGGGGAAGUGAAACAUCUCAGUACCCUUAGGAAAAGAAAUCAAUUGAGAUUCCCUCAGUAGCGGCGAGCGAACGGGGAUCAGCCCAUUAAGUUAUGUGUGUUUUAGUGGAACGCUCUGGGAAGUGCGAACGUAGAGGGUGAUAUUCCCGUACACGAAAGGGCACACAUAAUGAUGACGAGUAGGGCGAGGCACGUGAAACCUUGUCUGAAUAUGGGGGGACCAUCCUCCAAGGCUAAAUACUCCUGACUGACCGAUAGUGAACCAGUACCGUGAGGGAAAGGCGAAAAGAACCCCUGUGAGGGGAGUGAAAUAGAUCCUGAAACCGCAUGCAUACAAGCAGUGGGAGCACCUUCGUGGUGUGACUGCGUACCUUUUGUAUAAUGGGUCAGCGACUUAUAUUCAGUAGCAAGGUUAACCGUAUAGGGGAGCCGUAGAGAAAUCGAGUCUUAAUAGGGCGUUUAGUUGCUGGGUAUAGACCCGAAACCAGGCGAUCUAUCCAUGAGCAGGUUGAAGGUUGGGUAACACUAACUGG